AUCUAUUGUUGAAACAAAUCAUUCUAAACUAAAUGGGUGGUCGUGUGAUGCGGCGGGAUUUACAGUUAUUUCCAAGGGUACCAUUACUCAACCAUAAUUGUCAGAAGAAGUUGAUCGGAGACUGAAGGCGCUUCGGAUAGUCAAACGGAACUAAGAGCAACAAUGGUGAUUCACAGUUUACGUAAAGCUACACCGUCACUAGAACAAAAACAACUUCUAGAUCAUAGUUUUAUUUUUUUUAUUCAAAACCUGAUUCGAAAAACGGCGUAUAAUUGCGUGAAUGGUGGUAGACGGCUGUGAAUGGUGGUUGCGAUAAUUUUGCAACGCAUGACGGCGUAACUCCGGUUGGUUGUGGUUGUGGUUUGUUGAUGGCAUGUUUGUACGGUGGCGUUAAGUUGCGUGGUGGUGGAAUGGCUGUUGUUGUCACCGGAGAAGGUUGUUCCAGCGGUGGCUUCCGAAUUUUCAAUCUGUGUAGCGGAGGUUCAGAGUAUUUUGAUAUUUUGAGAGAGAGAGAGAGUAUGUGAAUUUGUGAGAACCGAUUAGUUUAUGAACAUUAACAAGAUUAUUUGUUUCCCAUAAUGAGUGAUUUAAUCAUGAAUCCUAAUUAUUUUU